rnacentral:rRNA from 1 species
CAAUAGCGUAUAUUAAUGUUGUUGCAGUUAAAAAGCUCGUAGUUGGAUUUCUGGUGGGAGCGGCCGGUCCGCCAUAAGGUGUGUACUUGGUUGUCUCCUGUCAUCCUUGUGGGAACUGCCCUGGCAUUAAGUUGUCGGGGUUAGGGAACACAUCGUUUACUGUGAAAAAAUUAGAGUGUUUAAAGCAGGCUUAUGCCGUUGAAUACAUUAGCAUGGAAUAAUAAGAUAGGACUUUGGCGUCUAUUUUGUUGGUUUGCACACCAAGGUAAUGAUUAAUAGGGAUAGUUGGGGGUAUUCGUAUUUAAUUGUCAGAGGUGAAAUUCUUGGAUUUAUGAAAGACGAACUUCUGCGAAAGCAUUUACCAAAGAUGUUUUCAUUAA